UACAGAGGUCUCAAGCGUUGUUCGGAUUCAUUGGGCGUAAAGGGUGUGUAGGUGGCGCCGUAAGUCGGGUGUGAAAUCUCGGGGCUUAACUCCGAAACUGCAUUUGAUACUGCGGUGCUUGAGGACUGGAGAGGAGACUGGAAUUUAUGGUGUAGCAGUGAAAUGCGUAGAUAUCAUAAGGAAGACCAGUGGCGAAGGCGGGUCUCUGGACAGUUCCUGACGCUGAGGCACGAAGGCCAGGGGAGCAAACGGG
rnacentral:rRNA from 1 species